rnacentral:rRNA from 1 species
GACGUAGGGGGCGAGCGUUGUCCGGAAUUAUUGGGCGUAAAGAGCUCGUAGGCGGUGUGUCGCGUCGGCCGUGAAAACCUGCAGCUUAACUGUGGGCUUGCGGUCGAUACGGGCAUCACUGGAGUUCGGCAGGGGAGACUGGAAUUCCUGGUGUAGCGGUGAAAUGCGCAGAUAUCAGGAGGAACACCAAUGGCGAAGGCAGCUCGCUGGAACGGUACUGACGCUGAGGCGCGAAAGCGUGGGGAGCGAACAGG